rnacentral:rRNA from 1 species
ACAUGCAAGUCGAACGGCAGCACGGGUGCUUGCACCUGGUGGCGAGUGGCGAACGGGUGAGUAAUGCAUCGGAACGUGCCCAUGAGUGGGGGAUAGCCCGGCGAAAGCCGGAUUAAUACCGCAUACGCCCUUAGGGGGAAACGGGGGGAUCUUCGGACCUCGCGCUAUUGGAGCGGCCGAUGUCGGAUUAGCUAGUAGGUGAGGUAAAGGCUCACCUAGGCGACGAUCCGUAGCUGGUCUGAGAGGAUCGAUCAGCCACACUGGGACUGAGGCACGGCCCAGACUCCUACGGGAGGCAGCAGUGGGGAAUUUUGGACAAUGGGCGCAAGCCUGAUCCAGCCAUGCCGCGUGAGUGAAGAAGGCCCUCGGGUUGUAAAGCUCUUUCAGGUGGAAAGAAAUAGCGCUGUUUAAUAGAUGGCGUUGAUGACGGUACCACCAGAAGAAGCACCGGCUAACUACGUG